AUGUCGUGGUGCCGAAUAAUGGCGACGCGAAAGAGAAAUCGAGUAGGGCCCUGGGGAGAGUACACGCGCAAGCGAGAAAUUUAAAGGAAAUUGACGGAAGAACACCACAAGGAGUGGAGUGUGCGGCUUAAUUUGACUCAACGCGGGACAACUUACCGGGCCCGACGACCGUAUGAGUGUAACACACGAUAGGUCGAAGAGUGGUGCAUGGCCGUUAACGACGAGUGGAGUGAUCUUUGGGUUAAGUCCGUAAAUUAGUGAGACCUCAGCCGUAAGGGACAGGUGCGCAAAGCACAGGAAGGAUGGGUCAAGGACAGGUCAGUGAUGCCCUUAGAUGGUCCGGGCUGCACGCGCACUACAGUGGUCGCCGAAAUUACCUGAUAAUUUUAAAGGCGAUCGAGAGGGAAUGAGCUUUGUAAGAGGCUCAGGAACGAGGAAUUGCUAGUAAUCGCGGACUCAUUAAGACGCGAUGAAUACGUCCCUGUUCUUUGUACACACCGCCCGUCGUUAUCGAAGAUGAAGACAGGCGCGAACGAUCUACCAGAAAGUGAGCGCAGGUCUUUAGAUCUGAUACAAGUCGUAACAAGGUAGCUGUAGGAGAACCUGUAGCUGG
rnacentral:rRNA from 1 species